rnacentral:rRNA from 1 species
AUUCUGGCUCAGGAUGAACGCUGGCGGCGUGCUUAACACAUGCAAGUCGAACGGGAUCCACCGGGCUUUGCUUGGUGGUGAGAGUGGCGAACGGGUGAGUAAUGCGUGACCGACCUGCCCCAUACACCGGAAUAGCUCCUGGAAACGGGUGGUAAUGCCGGAUGUUCCAGUUGAUCGCAUGGUCUUCUGGGAAAGCUUUCGCGGUAUGGGAUGGGGUCGCGUCCUAUCAGCUUGACGGCGGGGUAACGGCCCACCGUGGCUUCGACGGGUAGCCGGCCUGAGAGGGCGACCGGCCACAUUGGGACUGAGAUACGGCCCAGACUCCUACGGGAGGCAGCAGUGGGGAAUUUUGCGCAAUGGGGGCAACCCUGACGCAGCAACGCCGCGUGCGGGACGAAGGCGUCCGCGUCGUAAACCGCUUUCAGCGGGGAACACUUCAACGAGGGUACCCGCAGAAGAAGCCCCGGCUAAAUACGUGCCAGCAGCCGCGGUAAUACGUAUGGGGCGAGCGUUAUCCGGAUUCAUUGGGCGUAAAGCGCGCGUAGGCGGAGCGCUAAGCGGGACCUCUAACCCGAGGGCUCAACCCCCGGCCGGGUCCCGAACUGGCGCUCUCGAGUGCGGUAGGGGAGAGCGGAAUUCCCGGUGUAGCGGUGGAAUGCGCAGAUAUCGGGAGGAACACCGACGGCGAAGGCAGCUCUCUGGGCCGAAACUGACGCUGAGGCGCGAAAGCUGGGGGAGCGAACAGGAUUAGAUACCCUGGUAGUCCCAGCCGUAAACGAUGGACGCUAGGUGUGGGGGGAACAUCCCUCCGUGCCGAAGCCAACGCAUUAAGCGUCCCGCCUGGGGAGUACGGCCGCAAGGCUAAAACUCAAAGGAAUUGACGGGGGCCCGCACAAGCAGCGGAGCAUGUGGCUUAAUUCGAAGCAACGCGAAGAACCUUACCAGGGCUUGACAUAUCGGUGAAGCCGGAGAGAUCCGGUGGCCGAGAGGAGCCGAUACAGGUGGUGCAUGGCUGUCGUCAGCUCGUGCCGUGAGGUGUUGGGUUAAGUCCCGCAACGAGCGCAACCCCCGCCGCGUGUUGCCAGCAUUCAGUUGGGCACUCACGCGGGACUGCCGGCGUCAAGCCGGAGGAAGGCGGGGAUGACGUCAAGUCAUCAUGCCCCUUAUGCCCUGGGCCGCACACGUGCUACAAUGGCCGGCACAACGGGUUGCCACCCCGCGAGGGGGAGCGGAUCCCAAAAGCCGGCCCCAGUUCGGAUCGGAGGCUGCAACCCGCCUCCGUGAAGCCGGAGUUGCUAGUAAUCGCGGAUCAGCACGCCGCGGUGAAUACGUUCCCGGGCCUUGUACACACCGCCCGUCACACCACCCGAGUCGUCUGCACCCGAAGCCGCCGGCCGAACCCCUCCGGGGGGCGGAGGCGUCGAAGGUGUGGAGGGUGAGGGGGGUGAAGUCGUAACAAGGUAGCCGUACCGGAAGGUGCGGCUG